rnacentral:rRNA from 1 species
AGCGAACGCUGGCGGCGUGCCUAACACAUGCAAGUCGAGCGAGAAAGGGGUGGCAACACCCUGAGUAAAGCGGCGAACGGGUGAGUAACGCGUGGGCAAUCUACCUUCCAGUCUGGGAUAACCUUCCGAAAGGAGGGCUAAUACCGGAUGAUGUCCUGUUGGGGCAUCCUGAGGGGAGCAAAGGGGGCGACCCGCAAGGGGCUCUCGCUGGAGGAGGAGCCUGCGUCCGAUUAGCAGUUGGUAGGGUAAUGGCCUACCAAGGCGACGAUCGGUAGCUGGUCUGAGAGGACGACCAGCCACACUGGGACUGAGACACGGCCCAGACUCCUACGGGAGGCAGCAGUGGGGAAUAUUGGACAAUGGGCGCAAGCCUGAUCCAGCGAUGCCGCGUGUGUGAAGAAGGCCUGCGGGUUGUAAAGCACUUUCAGUAGGAAGAAAAGCCGAGUGCUAAUAUCACUCGGUCUUGACGUUACUUACAGAAGAAGCACCGGCUAACUCCGU